UAGGGCCUGCCCACUGAUAAUUGUUAAAGGGCCGCGGUAUUAUGACCGUGCGAAGGUAGCAUAAUCAUUAGUCUUUUAAUUGAGGGCUGGAAUGAAUGGUUUGACGAAGUACUAACUGUCUUGUAAUUAGAUAUAGAAGUUAACUUUUAAGUUAAAAGGCUUAAAUAGUUGUAUAGGACGAGAAGACCCUAUAAAGCUUUAUAUACACUUGGUAAUGAUUUAUAUUUGGUUGGUUAGAUAGAUUUUUGAAGGUAUAUUUUGUUGGGGUGACAUAAAGAUAUAUUUAACUCUUUAUUUAAUAUACAUUGAUUUAUGGAUAAUUGAUCCAUUUUUAGUGAUCAUAAGAUUAAGUUACUUUAGGGAUAACAGCGUAAUUUUUUUUAAGAGUUCAUAUCAACAAAGAAGAUUGCGACCUCGAUGUUGGAUUAAGGGUAUGAUUAGGUGCAGCAGUUUAAUUAAUAGGUCUGUUCGACCUUUAAACCCUUACAUGAUCUGAGUUCAGACCGGUGUGAGCCAGGUCGGUUUCUAUCCUUAUAAGAUAAUUAUGUUUUAGUACGAAAGGACCAAACAUUAUAAAGAUUGUUUAUUAAAUUUGAUUAAUAUUAA
rnacentral:rRNA from 1 species